UACGAAGGGGCUAGGCGUUGCUCGGAAUCACUGGGCGUAAAGCGCACGUAGGCGGAUUGCUAAGUCAGGGUGAAAUCUGGAGCUCAACUCCAGAACUGCCUUUGAUACUGGCGAUCUUGAGUCCGGGAGAGGUGGAGUGGAACUGCGAGUGUAGAGGUGAAAUUCGAUGAGAUAUUCGCAAGAACACCAGUGGCGAAGGCGGCUCACUGGACACGUAUUGACGCUGAGGUGCGAAAAGCGUGGGGAGCAAACAGG
rnacentral:rRNA from 1 species